rnacentral:rRNA from 1 species
UACAGAGGGUGCAAGCGUUGUUCGGAAUUAUUGGGCGUAAAGCGCGUGUAGGCGGCAGUGCAAGUCGGGUGUGAAAGCCCUCAGCUCAACUGAGGAAGUGCGCCCGAAACUGCAUUGCUUGAGUACCGGAGAGGAUGGUGGAAUUCCUGGUGUAGCGGUGAAAUGCGCAGAUAUCAGGAAGAACACCCGUGGCGAAGGCGGCUCUCUGGGACGGUACUGACGCUGAGACGCGAAAGCGUGGGGAGCGAACAGG